rnacentral:rRNA from 1 species
GCUGGCGGCGUGCUUAACACAUGCAAGUCGAGCGGAAAGGCCCUGCUUUUGUGGGGUGCUCGAGUGGCGAACGGGUGAGUAACACGUGAGUAACCUGCCCUUGACUUUGGGAUAACUUCAGGAAACUGGGGCUAAUACCGGAUAGGAGCUCCUGCUGCAUGGUGGGGGUUGGAAAGUUUCGGCGGUUGGGGAUGGACUCGCGGCUUAUCAGCUUGUUGGUGGGGUAGUGGCUUACCAAGGCUUUGACGGGUAGCCGGCCUGAGAGGGUGACCGGCCACAUUGGGACUGAGAUACGGCCCAGACUCCUACGGGAGGCAGCAGUGGGGAAUAUUGCACAAUGGGCGGAAGCCUGAUGCAGCAACGCCGCGUGCGGGAUGACGGCCUUCGGGUUGUAAACCGCUUUCGCCUGUGACGAAGCGUGAGUGACGGUAAUGGGUAAAGAAGCACCGGCUAACUACGUG